UGAAUCUCUGUAGGUCGAAAGGCGGGAAUC
rnacentral:piRNA from 1 species